GGAAUGUGGUUCAGUGGUAGAGUGCUUGCCUUGCAUGCAUGAGGCCCUGGGUUCAAUUCCUCAGCACCA
rnacentral:tRNA from 1 species